GACGAACGCUGGCGGCGUGCCUAAUACAUGCAAGUAGAACGCUGAAGAGAGGAGCUUGCUCUUCUUGGAUGAGUUGCGAACGGGUGAGUAACGCGUAGGUAACCUGCCUUGUAGCGGGGGAUAACUAUUGGAAACGAUAGCUAAUACCGCAUAACAAUGGAUGACACAUGUCAUUUAUUUGAAAGGGGCAAUUGCUCCACUACAAGAUGGACCUGCGUUGUAUUAGCUAGUAGGUGAGGUAACGGCUCACCUAGGCGACGAUACAUAGCCGACCUGAGAGGGUGAUCGGCCACACUGGGACUGAGACACGGCCCAGACUCCUACGGGAGGCAGCAGUAGGGAAUCUUCGGCAAUGGGGGCAACCCUGACCGAGCAACGCCGCGUGAGUGAAGAAGGUUUUCGGAUCGUAAAGCUCUGUUGUAAGUCAAGAACGAGUGUGAGAGUGGAAAAUUCACACUGUGACGGUAGCUUACCAGAAAGGGACGGCUAACUACGUGCCAGCAGCCGCGGUAAUACGUAGGUCCCGAGCGUUGUCCGGAUUUAUUGGGCGUAAAGCGAGCGCAGGCGGUUUGAUAAGUCUGAAGUUAAAGGCUGUGGCUCAACCAUAGUUCGCUUUGGAAACUGUCAAACUUGAGUGCAGAAGGGGAGAGUGGAAUUCCAUGUGUAGCGGUGAAAUGCGUAGAUAUAUGGAGGAACACCGGUGGCGAAAGCGGCUCUCUGGUCUGUAACUGACGCUGAGGCUCGAAAGCGUGGGGAGCGAACAGGAUUAGAUACCCUGGUAGUCCACGCCGUAAACGAUGAGUGCUAGGUGUUGGAUCCUUUCCGGGAUUCAGUGCCGCAGCUAACGCAUUAAGCACUCCGCCUGGGGAGUACGACCGCAAGGUUGAAACUCAAAGGAAUUGACGGGGGCCCGCACAAGCGGUGGAGCAUGUGGUUUAAUUCGAAGCAACGCGAAGAACCUUACCAGGUCUUGACAUCCCGAUGCUAUUUCUAGAGAUAGAAAGUUACUUCGGUACAUCGGUGACAGGUGGUGCAUGGUUGUCGUCAGCCCGUGUCGUGAGAUGUUGGGUUAAGUCCCGCAACGAGCGCAACCCCUAUUGUUAGUUGCCAUCAUUCAGUUGGGCACUCUAGCGAGACUGCCGGUAAUAAACCGGAGGAAGGUGGGGAUGACGUCAAAUCAUCAUGCCCCUUAUGACCUGGGCUACACACGUGCUACAAUGGUUGGUACAACGAGUUGCGAGUCGGUGACGGCAAGCUAAUCUCUUAAAGCCAAUCUCAGUUCGGAUUGUAGGCUGCAACUCGCCUACAUGAAGUCGGAAUCGCUAGUAAUCGCGGAUCAGCACGCCGCGGUGAAUACGUUCCCGGGCCU
rnacentral:rRNA from 1 species